AGAGAGACGACGAAGAAUUAUAGAAAAUAAUCGAGAGAUUGUUUUUGCUUAGCUGUUAAUUAAAAAAUAGAACGAAAAGAUACAAGCAUCGAGUCUCAUAGCUCAGCUGGUUAGAGCGCUACACUGAUAAUGUAGAGGUCGGCAGUUCGAGUCUGCCUGAGACUACAAUUUUAAUUAGGGAUUAAUAAUUUAAAAUUCAUAAUUAAAGGGAAGUAUUGAAAAAAGGAAAUUCUAGAGGUUGGGAUUCAACAUUCGUAAUUCUGAAUUCGACAUUCUGAAUUUCGUAUGGGGGAUUAGCUCAGCUGGCUAGAGCGCCUGCCUUGCACGCAGGAGGUCAUCGGUUCGACUCCGAUAUUCUCCACAAGGCAAUGCCUUGAGAUGAUAGAUUUCAGGUAUUGUAAAGAAUAGUUACUGAUUAUAAUCAGUGGCGAUUCGCCACAAGUUCAUUGACAUAUUGAGAUAAAAAGAGAAACGAGAAUUAAGAAAUUAAUGAAUCGAGAGAAAAAAUAUUAAAUAAUAAAGAGCAAAAAAGUACA
rnacentral:misc_RNA from 1 species